rnacentral:rRNA from 1 species
ACAGCAGUAGCCGCGGGAACACGAAGGGGGCUAGCGUUGUUCGGAUUUACUGGGCGUAAAGGGUGCGUAGGCGGAUUGUUAAGUCAGGGGUGAAAUCCCGAGGCUCAACCUCGGAACUGCCUUUGAUACUGGCGAUCUUGAGUCCGGGAGAGGUAAGUGGAACUGCGAGUGUAGAGGUGAGAUUCGUAGAUAUUCGCAAGAACACCGGUGGCGAAGGCGGCUCACUGGCCCGGAACUGACGCUGAGGCACGAAAGCGUGGGGAGCAAACAGGAUUAGAUACCCCAGUAGUCCCUGUCUCUUAUAC